AUAUAUACAAAAUGAGUGGUGAUCUUGAAAAUGAAAUGCACAUUCGUGCUAUUUGGCCAACAGUUGAUUUAUGUUAUUUUCUAAUUCAUAAAUCUCUUGUGUGCCAUACAGCAAGAUGUGUGCUUUAUCCUCAUGUAUCCUUUGCAUAUCUUCGAUCAAGAUAUGAGUAUUCGACGAAUUCUCAAUUGAUUAAUUCCAUUUUAAAGUUUUUACAAGAAUUGAUUUGUGACGCUUUGCCAAUUUUAACAUAUUAAUAUAUAUAUUAUUUUCAGACGAUGAUCGCUUUAUAUCCCUGUACUGAAAAGAAGUGAGCCCUCGGCAAGAUGUAUGAACGAUUUAAGCCCACAUUUUCAGUUUUUUACCAGGUUAGAUUUGCGAAACGUUGAGUUUAGGUCGUAUCACAGCUCUAACCUGGCAAUUUUGCUUGAAAAAUACCUCGUUUUAGAACAUUUUGAGAUACGCGCACAUUUUUCAAGUGAUCGAAGACAGUUUAAUAAAGAAAAUACAAAAUUUGCAUUUCACUUUAGAAAUACAAAGCAUGUGUGGUAUUUUAUCUCAUACAUAUCUUGUGUUUCUAGGUCAAAUGUGAGUACUCGACGAAUUCCCAAUUGAGAAGACCCAGUUUUAAGUUUGUUACCAGGUCGAUUGAAAAUUACCUAUAUUUGAAGAAGAAUAUAUACAAAAAGAGUGGUGAUAUUGAAAAUGAAAGUGUUUCCCCGGCCAAACGCACAUUCGUGCUAAAUGGCACACAGUUGAUUUAUGUUAUUUUCUAGUUCAUAAGUCCCUUGAGUGCCAUAGAGCAAGAUGUGUGAUGUAUCCUCAUGUAUCCUUUGCAUAUCUUCGAUCAAGAUAUGAGUAUUCGACGAAUUCUCAAUUGAUUAAUUACAUUUUAAAGUUUUUACAAGAAUUGAUUUGUGACGCUUUGCCAAUUUUAACAUAUUAAUAUAUAUAUUAUUUUCAGACGAUGAUCGCUUUAUAUCCCUGUACUGAAAAGAAGUGAGCCCUCGGCAAGAUGUAUGAACGAUUUAAGCCCACAUUUUCAGUUUUUUACCAGAUUAGAUUUGCGAAACGUAGAGUUUAGGUCGUAUCACAGCUCUAACCUGGCAAUUUUGCUUGAAAAAUACCUCCUUUUAGAACAUUUUGAGAUACGCGCACAAUUUUCAAGUGAUCGAAGACAGUUUAAUAAAGAAAAUACAAAAUUUGCAUUUCACUUUAGAAAUACAAAGCAUGUGUGGUAUUUUAUCUCAUACAUAUCUUGUGUUUCUAGGUCAAAUGUGAGUACUCGACGAAUUCCCAAUUGAGAAGACCCAGUUUUAAGUUUGUUACCAGGUCGAUUGAAAAUUACCUAUAUUUGAAGAAGAAUAUAUACAAAAAGAGUGGUGAUAUUGAAAAUGAAAGUGUUUCCCCGGCCAAACGCACAUUCGUGCUAAAUGGCACACAGUUGAUUUAUGUUAUUUUCUAGUUCAUAAGUCCCUUGAGUGCCAUAGAGCAAGAUGUGUGAUGUAUCCUCAUGUAUCCUUUGCAUAUCUUCGAUCAAGAUAUGAGUAUUCGACGAAUUCUCAAUUGAUUAAUUCCAUUUUAAUGUUUUUACAAGAAUUGAUUUGUGACGCUUUGCCAAUUUUAACAUAUUAAUAUAUAUAUUAUUUUCAGACGAUGAUCGCUUUAUAUCCCUGUACUGAAAAGAAGUGAGCCCUCGGCAAGAUGUAUGAACGAUUUAAGCCCACAUUUUCAGUUUUUUACCAGGUUAGAUUUGCGAAACGUUGAGUUUAGGUCGUAUCACAGCUCUAACCUGGCAAUUUUGCUUGAAAAAUACCUCGUUUUAGAACAUUUUGAGAUACGCGCACAUUUUUCAAGUGAUCGAAGACAGUUUAAUAAAGAAAAUACAAAAUUUGCAUUUCACUUUAGAAACACAAAGCAUGUGUGGUAUUUUAUCUCAUACAUAUCUUGUGUUUCUAGAUCAAAUGUGAGUACUCGACGAAUUCCCAAUUGAGAAGUCCCAGUUUUAAGUUUGUUACCAGGUCGAUUGAAAAAUACCUAUAUUUGAAGAAGAAUAUAUACAAAAUGAGUGGUGAUCUUGAAAAUGAAAUGCACAUUCGUGCUAUUUGGCCAACAGUUGAUUUAUGUUAUUUUCUAAUUCAUAAAUCUCUUGUGUGCCAUACAGCAAGAUGUGUGCUUUAUCCUCACGUAUCCUUUGCAUGGCUUAGAUCAAGAUAUGAGUAAUCGACGAAUUCUCAAUUGAGUAAUUCCAGCUUAAAGUUUGUUACAAGAAUGGAUUUGUGACGCUUUGCCAAUUUUAACAUAUUAAUAUAUAUAUUAUUUUCAGACGAUGAUCGCUUUAUAUCCCUGUACUGAAAAGAAGUGAGCCCUCGGCAAAAUGUAUGAACGAUUUAAGGCCCACAUUUUCAGUUUUUUACCAGGUUAGAUUUGCGAAACGUUGAGUUUAGGUCGUAUCACAGCUCUAACCUGGCAAUUUUGCUUGAAAAAUACCUCCUUUUAGAACAUUUUGAGAUACGCGCACAAUUUUCAAGUGAUCGAAGACAGUUUAAUAAAGAAAAUACAAAAUUUGCAUUUCACUUUAGAAAUACAAAGCAUGUGUGGUAUUUUAUCUCAUACAUAUCUUGUGUUUCUAGGUCAAAUGUGAGUACUCGACGAAUUCCCAAUUGAGAAGACCCCGUUUUAAGUUUGUUACCAGGUCGAUUGAAAAAUACCUAUAUUUGAAGAAGAAUAUAUACAAAAAGAGUGGUGAUAUUGAAAAUGAAAGUGUUUCCCCGGCCAAACGCACAUUCGUGCUAAAUGGCACACAGUUGAUUUAUGUUAUUUUCUAGUUCAUAAGUCCCUUGAGUGCCAUAGAGCAAGAUGUGUGAUGUAUCCUCAUGUAUCCUUUGCAUAUCUUCGAUCAAGAUAUGAGUAUUCGACGAAUUCUCAAUUGAUUAAUUACAUUUUAAAGUUUUUACAAGAAUUGAUUUGUGACGCUUUGCCAAUUUUAACAUAUUAAUAUAUAUAUUAUUUUCAGACGAUGAUCGCUUUAUAUCCCUGUACUGAAAAGAAGUGAGCCCUCGGCAAGAUGUAUGAACGAUUUAAGCCCACAUUUUCAGUUUUUUACCAGAUUAGAUUUGCGAAACGUAGAGUUUAGGUCGUAUCACAGCUCUAACCUGGCAAUUUUGCUUGAAAAAUACCUCCUUUUAGAACAUUUUGAGAUACGCGCACAAUUUUCAAGUGAUCGAAGACAGUUUAAUAAAGAAAAUACAAAAUUUGCAUUUCACUUUAGAAAUACAAAGCAUGUGUGGUAUUUUAUCUCAUACAUAUCUUGUGUUUCUAGGUCAAAUGUGAGUACUCGACGAAUUCCCAAUUGAGAAGACCCAGUUUUAAGUUUGUUACCAGGUCGAUUGAAAAUUACCUAUAUUUGAAGAAGAAUAUAUACAAAAAGAGUGGUGAUAUUGAAAAUGAAAGUGUUUCCCCGGCCAAACGCACAUUCGUGCUAAAUGGCACACAGUUGAUUUAUGUUAUUUUCUAGUUCAUAAGUCCCUUGAGUGCCAUAGAGCAAGAUGUGUGAUGUAUCCUCAUGUAUCCUUUGCAUAUCUUCGAUCAAGAUAUGAGUAUUCGACGAAUUCUCAAUUGAUUAAUUCCAUUUUAAUGUUUUUACAAGAAUUGAUUUGUGACGCUUUGCCAAUUUUAACAUAUUAAUAUAUAUAUUAUUUUCAGACGAUGAUCGCUUUAUAUCCCUGUACUGAAAAGAAGUGAGCCCUCGGCAAGAUGUAUGAACGAUUUAAGCCCACAUUUUCAGUUUUUUACCAGGUUAGAUUUGCGAAACGUUGAGUUUAGGUCGUAUCACAGCUCUAACCUGGCAAUUUUGCUUGAAAAAUACCUCGUUUUAGAACAUUUUGAGAUACGCGCACAUUUUUCAAGUGAUCGAAGACAGUUUAAUAAAGAAAAUACAAAAUUUGCAUUUCACUUUAGAAACACAAAGCAUGUGUGGUAUUUUAUCUCAUACAUAUCUUGUGUUUCUAGAUCAAAUGUGAGUACUCGACGAAUUCCCAAUUGAGAAGACCCCGUUUUAAGUUUGUUACCAGGUCGAUUGAAAAAUACUUAUAUUUGAAGAAGAAUAUAUACAAAAAGAGUGGUGAUAUUGAAAAUGAAAGUGUUUCCCCGGCCAAACGCACAUUCGUGCUAAAUGGCACACAGUUGAUUUAUGUUAUUUUCUAGUUCAUAAGUCCCUUGAGUGCCAUAGAGCAAGAUGUGUGAUGUAUCCUCAUGUAUCCUUUGCAUAUCUUCGAUCAAGAUAUGAGUAUUCGACGAAUUCUCAAUUGAUUAAUUCCAUUUUAAUGUUUUUACAAGAAUUGAUUUGUGACGCUUUGCCAAUUUUAACAUAUUAAUAUAUAUAUUAUUUUCAGACGAUGAUCGCUUUAUAUCCCUGUACUGAAAAGAAGUGAGCCCUCGGCAAGAUGUAUGAACGAUUUAAGCCCACAUUUUCAGUUUUUUACCAGGUUAGAUUUGCGAAACGUUGAGUUUAGGUCGUAUCACAGCUCUAACCUGGCAAUUUUGCUUGAAAAAUACCUCGUUUUAGAACAUUUUGAGAUACGCGCACAUUUUUCAAGUGAUCGAAGACAGUUUAAUAAAGAAAAUACAAAAUUUGCAUUUCACUUUAGAAAUACAAAGCAUGUGUGGUAUUUUAUCUCAUACAUAUCUUGUGUUUCUAGGUCAAAUGUGAGUACUCGACGAAUUCCCAAUUGAGAAGACCCCGUUUUAAGUUUGUUACCAGGUCGAUUGAAAAAUACCUAUAUUUGAAGAAGAAUAUAUACAAAAAGAGUGGUGAUAUUGAAAAUGAAAGUGUUUCCCCGGCCAAACGCACAUUCGUGCUAAAUGGCACACAGUUGAUUUAUGUUAUUUUCUAGUUCAUAAGUCCCUUGAGUGCCAUAGAGCAAGAUGUGUGAUGUAUCCUCAUGUAUCCUUUGCAUAUCUUCGAUCAAGAUAUGAGUAUUCGACGAAUUCUCAAUUGAUUAAUUACAUUUUAAAGUUUUUACAAGAAUUGAUUUGUGACGCUUUGCCAAUUUUAACAUAUUAAUAUAUAUAUUAUUUUCAGACGAUGAUCGCUUUAUAUCCCUGUACUGAAAAGAAGUGAGCCCUCGGCAAGAUGUAUGAACGAUUUAAGCCCACAUUUUCAGUUUUUUACCAGGUUAGAUUUGCGAAACGUUGAGUUUAGGUCGUAUCACAGCUCUAACCUGGCAAUUUUGCUUGAAAAAUACCUCGUUUUAGAACAUUUUGAGAUACGCGCACAUUUUUCAAGUGAUCGAAGACAGUUUAAUAAAGAAAAUACAAAAUUUGCAUUUCACUUUAGAAACACAAAGCAUGUGUGGUAUUUUAUCUCAUACAUAUCUUGUGUUUCUAGAUCAAAUGUGAGUACUCGACGAAUUCCCAAUUGAGAAGUCCCAGUUUUAAGUUUGUUACCAGGUCGAUUGAAAAAUACCUAUAUUUGAAGAAGAAUAUAUACAAAAUGAGUGGUGAUCUUGAAAAUGAAAUGCACAUUCGUGCUAUUUGGCCAACAGUUGAUUUAUGUUAUUUUCUAAUUCAUAAAUCUCUUGUGUGCCAUACAGCAAGAUGUGUGCUUUAUCCUCACGUAUCCUUUGCAUGGCUUAGAUCAAGAUAUGAGUAAUCGACGAAUUCUCAAUUGAGUAAUUCCAGCUUAAAGUUUGUUACAAGAAUGGAUUUGUGACGCUUUGCCAAUUUUAACAUAUUAAUAUAUAUAUUAUUUUCAGACGAUGAUCGCUUUAUAUCCCUGUACUGAAAAGAAGUGAGCCCUCGGCAAAAUGUUUGAACGAUUUAAGGCCCACAUUUUCAGUUUUUUACCAGGUUAGAUUUGCGAAACGUUGAGUUUAGGUCGUAUCACAGCUCUAACCUGGCAAUUUUGCUUGAAAAAUACCUCCUUUUAGAACAUUUUGAGAUACGCGCACAAUUUUCAAGUGAUCGAAGACAGUUUAAUAAAGAAAAUACAAAAUUUGCAUUUCACUUUAGAAACACAAAGCAUGUGUGGUAUUUUAUCUCAUACAUAUCUUGUGUUUCUAGGUCAAAUGUGAGUACUCGACGAAUUCCCAAUUGAGAAGACCCCGUUUUAAGUUUGUUACCAGGUCGAUAGAAAAAUACCUAUAUUUGAAGAAGAAUAUAUACAAAAAGAGUGGUGAUAUUGAAAAUGAAAGUGUUUCCCCGGCCAAACGCACAUUCGUGCUAAAUGGCACACAGUUGAUUUAUGUUAUUUUCUAGUUCAUAAGUCCCUUGAGUGCCAUAGAGCAAGAUGUGUGAUGUAUCCUCAUGUAUCCUUUGCAUAUCUUCGAUCAAGAUAUGAGUAUUCGACGAAUUCUCAAUUGAUUAAUUCCAUUUUAAUGUUUUUACAAGAAUUGAUUUGUGACGCUUUGCCAAUUUUAACAUAUUAAUAUAUAUAUUAUUUUCAGACGAUGAUCGCUUUAUAUCCCUGUACUGAAAAGAAGUGAGCCCUCGGCAAGAUGUAUGAACGAUUUAAGCCCACAUUUUCAGUUUUUUACCAGAACAUUUUGAGAUACGCGCACAAUUUUCAAGUGAUCGAAGACAGUUUAAUAAAGAAAAUACAAAAUUUGCAUUUCACUUUAGAAAUACAAAGCAUGUGUGGUAUUUUAUCUCAUACAUAUCUUGUGUUUCUAGGUCAAAUGUGAGUACUCGACGAAUUCCCAAUUGAGAAGACCCCGUUUUAAAUUUGUUACCAGGUCGAUUGAAAAAUACCUAUAUUUGAAGAAGAAUAUAUACAAAAAGAAUGGUGAUAUUGAAAAUGAAAGUGUUUCCCCGACCAAACGCACAUUCGUGCUAAAUGGCACACAGUUGAUUUAUGUUAUUUUCUAGUUCAUAAGUCCCUUGAGUGCCAUAGAGCAAGAUGUGUGAUGUAUCCUCAUGUAUCCUUUGCAUAUCUUCGAUCAAGAUAUGAGUAUUCGACGAAUUCUCAAUUGAUUAAUUCCAUUUUAAAGUUUUUACAAGAAUUGAUUAGUGACGCUUUGCCAAUUUUAACAUAUUAAUAUAUAUAUUAUUUUCAGACGAUGAUCGCUUUAUAUCCCUGUACUGAAAAGAAGUGAGCCCUCGGCAAGAUGUAUGAACGAUUUAAGCCCACAUUUUCAGUUUUUUACCAGGUUAGAUUGGCGAAACGUUGAGUUUAGGUCGUAUCACAGCUCUAACCUGGCAAUUUUGCUUGAAAAAUACCUCGUUUUAGAACAUUUUGAGAUACGCGCACAUUUUUCAAGUGAUCGAAGACAGUUUAAUAAAGAAAAUACAAAAUUUGCAUUUCACUUUAGAAACACAAAGCAUGUGUGGUAUUUUAUCUCAUACAUAUCUUGUGUUUCUAGAUCAAAUGUGAGUACUCGACGAAUUCCCAAUUGAGAAGUCCCAGUUUUAAGUUUGUUACCAGGUCGAUUGAAAAAUACCUAUAUUUGAAGAAGAAUAUAUACAAAAUGAGUGGUGAUCUUGAAAAUGAAAUGCACAUUCGUGCUAUUUGGCCAACAGUUGAUUUAUGUUAUUUUCUAAUUCAUAAAUCUCUUGUGUGCCAUACAGCAAGAUGUGUGCUUUAUCCUCAUGUAUCCUUUGCAUGGCUUAGAUCAAGAUAUGAGUAUUCGACGAAUUCUCAAUUGAUUAAUUCCAUUUUAAAGUUUUUACAAGAAUUGAUUUGUGACGCUUUGCCAAUUUUAACAUAUUAAUAUAUAUAUUAUUUUCAGACGAUGAUCGCUUUAUAUCCCUGUACUGAAAAGAAGUGAGCCCUCGGCAAGAUGUAUGAACGAUUUAAGCCCACAUUUUCAGUUUUUUACCAGAACAUUUUGAGAUACGCGCACAAUUUUCAAGUGAUCGAAGACAGUUUAAUAAAGAAAAUACAAAAUUUGCAUUUCACUUUAGAAAUACAAAGCAUGUGUGGUAUUUUAUCUCAUACAUAUCUUGUGUUUCUAGGUCAAAUGUGAGUACUCGACGAAUUCCCAAUUGAGAAGACCCCGUUUUAAAUUUGUUACCAGGUCGAUUGAAAAAUACCUAUAUUUGAAGAAGAAUAUAUACAAAAAGAGUGGUGAUAUUGAAAAUGAAAGUGUUUCCCCGGCCAAACGCACAUUCGUGCUAAAUGGCACACAGUUGAUUUAUGUUAUUUUCUAGUUCAUAAGUCCCUUGAGUGCCAUAGAGCAAAAUGUGUGAUGUAUCCUCAUGUAUCCUUUGCAUAUCUUCGAUCAAGAUAUGAGUAUUCGACGAAUUCUCAAUUGAUUAAUUACAUUUUAAAGUUUUUACAAGAAUUGAUUUGUGACGCUUUGCCAAUUUUAACAUAUUAAUAUAUAUAUUAUUUUCAGACGAUGAUCGCUUUAUAUCCCUGUACUGAAAAGAAGUGAGCCCUCGGCAAGAUGUAUGAACGAUUUAAGCCCACAUUUUCAGUUUUUUACCAGAACAUUUUGAGAUACGCGCACAAUUUUCAAGUGAUCGAAGACAGUUUAAUAAAGAAAAUACAAAAUUUGCAUUUCACUUUAGAAAUACAAAGCAUGUGUGGUAUUUUAUCUCAUACAUAUCUUGUGUUUCUAGGUCAAAUGUGAGUACUCGACGAAUUCCCAAUUGAGAAGACCCAGUUUUAAGUUUGUUACCAGGUCGAUUGAAAAUUACCUAUAUUUGAAGAAGAAUAUAUACAAAAAGAGUGGUGAUAUUGAAAAUGAAAGUGUUUCCCCGGCCAAACGCACAUUCGUGCUAAAUGGCACACAGUUGAUUUAUGUUAUUUUCUAGUUCAUAAGUCCCUUGAGUGCCAUAGAGCAAGAUGUGUGAUGUAUCCUCAUGUAUCCUUUGCAUAUCUUCGAUCAAGAUAUGAGUAUUCGACGAAUUCUCAAUUGAUUAAUUCCAUUUUAAUGUUUUUACAAGAAUUGAUUUGUGACGCUUUGCCAAUUUUAACAUAUUAAUAUAUAUAUUAUUUUCAGACGAUGAUCGCUUUAUAUCCCUGUACUGAAAAGAAGUGAGCCCUCGGCAAGAUGUAUGAACGAUUUAAGCCCACAUUUUCAGUUUUUUACCAGGUUAGAUUUGCGAAACGUUGAGUUUAGGUCGUAUCACAGCUCUAACCUGGCAAUUUUGCUUGAAAAAUACCUCGUUUUAGAACAUUUUGAGAUACGCGCACAUUUUUCAAGUGAUCGAAGACAGUUUAAUAAAGAAAAUACAAAAUUUGCAUUUCACUUUAGAAACACAAAGCAUGUGUGGUAUUUUAUCUCAUACAUAUCUUGUGUUUCUAGAUCAAAUGUGAGUACUCGACGAAUUCCCAAUUGAGAAGACCCCGUUUUAAGUUUGUUACCAGGUCGAUUGAAAAAUACUUAUAUUUGAAGAAGAAUAUAUACAAAAAGAGUGGUGAUAUUGAAAAUGAAAGUGUUUCCCCGGCCAAACGCACAUUCGUGCUAAAUGGCACACAGUUGAUUUAUGUUAUUUUCUAGUUCAUAAGUCCCUUGAGUGCCAUAGAGCAAGAUGUGUGAUGUAUCCUCAUGUAUCCUUUGCAUAUCUUCGAUCAAGAUAUGAGUAUUCGACGAAUUCUCAAUUGAUUAAUUCCAUUUUAAUGUUUUUACAAGAAUUGAUUUGUGACGCUUUGCCAAUUUUAACAUAUUAAUAUAUAUAUUAUUUUCAGACGAUGAUCGCUUUAUAUCCCUGUACUGAAAAGAAGUGAGCCCUCGGCAAGAUGUAUGAACGAUUUAAGCCCACAUUUUCAGUUUUUUACCAGGUUAGAUUUGCGAAACGUUGAGUUUAGGUCGUAUCACAGCUCUAACCUGGCAAUUUUGCUUGAAAAAUACCUCGUUUUAGAACAUUUUGAGAUACGCGCACAUUUUUCAAGUGAUCGAAGACAGUUUAAUAAAGAAAAUACAAAAUUUGCAUUUCACUUUAGAAAUACAAAGCAUGUGUGGUAUUUUAUCUCAUACAUAUCUUGUGUUUCUAGGUCAAAUGUGAGUACUCGACGAAUUCCCAAUUGAGAAGACCCCGUUUUAAGUUUGUUACCAGGUCGAUUGAAAAAUACCUAUAUUUGAAGAAGAAUAUAUACAAAAAGAGUGGUGAUAUUGAAAAUGAAAGUGUUUCCCCGGCCAAACGCACAUUCGUGCUAAAUGGCACACAGUUGAUUUAUGUUAUUUUCUAGUUCAUAAGUCCCUUGAGUGCCAUAGAGCAAGAUGUGUGAUGUAUCCUCAUGUAUCCUUUGCAUAUCUUCGAUCAAGAUAUGAGUAUUCGACGAAUUCUCAAUUGAUUAAUUACAUUUUAAAGUUUUUACAAGAAUUGAUUUGUGACGCUUUGCCAAUUUUAACAUAUUAAUAUAUAUAUUAUUUUCAGACGAUGAUCGCUUUAUAUCCCUGUACUGAAAAGAAGUGAGCCCUCGGCAAGAUGUAUGAACGAUUUAAGCCCACAUUUUCAGUUUUUUACCAGGUUAGAUUGGCGAAACGUUGAGUUUAGGUCGUAUCACAGCUCUAACCUGGCAAUUUUGCUUGAAAAAUACCUCGUUUUAGAACAUUUUGAGAUACGCGCACAUUUUUCAAGUGAUCGAAGACAGUUUAAUAAAGAAAAUACAAAAUUUGCAUUUCACUUUAGAAACACAAAGCAUGUGUGGUAUUUUAUCUCAUACAUAUCUUGUGUUUCUAGAUCAAAUGUGAGUACUCGACGAAUUCCCAAUUGAGAAGUCCCAGUUUUAAGUUUGUUACCAGGUCGAUUGAAAAAUACCUAUAUUUGAAGAAGAAUAUAUACAAAAUGAGUGGUGAUCUUGAAAAUGAAAUGCACAUUCGUGCUAUUUGGCCAACAGUUGAUUUAUGUUAUUUUCUAAUUCAUAAAUCUCUUGUGUGCCAUACAGCAAGAUGUGUGCUUUAUCCUCACGUAUCCGUUGCAUGGCUUAGAUCAAGAUAUGAGUAAUCGACGAAUUCUCAAUUGAGUAAUUCCAGCUUAAAGUUUGUUACAAGAAUGGAUUUGUGACGCUUUGCCAAUUUUAACAUAUUAAUAUAUAUAUUAUUUUCAGACGAUGAUCGCUUUAUAUCCCUGUACUGAAAAGAAGUGAGCCCUCGGCAAAAUGUAUGAACGAUUUAAGGCCCACAUUUUCAGUUUUUUACCAGGUUAGAUUUGCGAAACGUUGAGUUUAGGUCGUAUCACAGCUCUAACUUGGCAAUUUUGCUUGAAAAAUACCUCCUUUUAGAACAUUUUGAGAUACGCGCACAAUUUUCAAGUGAUCGAAGACAGUUUAAUAAAGAAAAUACAAAAUUUGCAUUUCACUUUAGAAACACAAAGCAUGUGUGGUAUUUUAUCUCAUACAUAUCUUGUGUUUCUAGAUCAAAUGUGAGUACUCGACGAAUUCCCAAUUGAGAAGACCCCGUUUUAAGUUUGUUACCAGGUCGAUUGAAAAAUACCUAUAUUUGAAGAAGAAUAUAUACAAAAAGAGUGGUGAUAUUGAAAAUGAAAGUGUUUCCCCGGCCAAACGCACAUUCGUGCUAAAUGGCACACAGUUGAUUUAUGUUAUUUUCUAGUUCAUAAGUCCCUUGAGUGCCAUAGAGCAAGAUGUGUGAUGUAUCCUCAUGUAUCCUUUGCAUAUCUUCGAUCAAGAUAUGAGUAUUCGACGAAUUCUCAAUUGAUUAAUUCCAUUUUAAAGUUUUUACAAGAAUUGAUUAGUGACGCUUUGCCAAUUUUAACAUAUUAAUAUAUAUAUUAUUUUCAGACGAUGAUCGCUUUAUAUCCCUGUACUGAAAAGAAGUGAGCCCUCGGCAAGAUGUAUGAACGAUUUAAGCCCACAUUUUCAGUUUUUUACCAGGUUAGAUUGGCGAAACGUUGAGUUUAGGUCGUAUCACAGCUCUAACCUGGCAAUUUUGCUUGAAAAAUACCUCGUUUUAGAACAUUUUGAGAUACGCGCACAUUUUUCAAGUGAUCGAAGACAGUUUAAUAAAGAAAAUACAAAAUUUGCAUUUCACUUUAGAAACACAAAGCAUGUGUGGUAUUUUAUCUCAUACAUAUCUUGUGUUUCUAGAUCAAAUGUGAGUACUCGACGAAUUCCCAAUUGAGAAGUCCCAGUUUUAAGUUUGUUACCAGGUCGAUUGAAAAAUACCUAUAUUUGAAGAAGAAUAUAUACAAAAUGAGUGGUGAUCUUGAAAAUGAAAUGCACAUUCGUGCUAUUUGGCCAACAGUUGAUUUAUGUUAUUUUCUAAUUCAUAAAUCUCUUGUGUGCCAUACAGCAAGAUGUGUGCUUUAUCCUCAUGUAUCCUUUGCAUGGCUUAGAUCAAGAUAUGAGUAUUCGACGAAUUCUCAAUUGAUUAAUUCCAUUUUAAUGUUUUUACAAGAAUUGAUUUGUGACGCUUUGCCAAUUUUAACAUAUUAAUAUAUAUAUUAUUUUCAGACGAUGAUCGCUUUAUAUCCCUGUACUGAAAAGAAGUGAGCCCUCGGCAAGAUGUAUGAACGAUUUAAGCCCACAUUUUCAGUUUUUUACCAGAACAUUUUGAGAUACGCGCACAAUUUUCAAGUGAUCGAAGACAGUUUAAUAAAGAAAAUACAAAAUUUGCAUUUCACUUUAGAAAUACAAAGCAUGUGUGGUAUUUUAUCUCAUACAUAUCUUGUGUUUCUAGGUCAAAUGUAAGUACUCGACGAAUUCCCAAUUGAGAAGACCCCGUUUUAAGUUUGUUACCAGGUCGAUUGAAAAAUACCUAUAUUUGAAGAAGAAUAUAUACAAAAAGAGUGGUGAUAUUGAAAAUGAAAGUGUUUCCCCGGCCAAACGCACAUUCGUGCUAAAUGGCACACAGUUGAUUUAUGUUAUUUUCUAGUUCAUAAGUCCCUUGAGUGCCAUAGAGCAAGAUGUGUGAUGUAUCCUCAUGUAUCCUUUGCAUAUCUUCGAUCAAGAUAUGAGUAUUCGACGAAUUCUCAAUUGAUUAAUUCCAUUUUAAAGUUUUUACAAGAAUUGAUUUGUGACGCUUUGCCAAUUUUAACAUAUUAAUAUAUAUAUUAUUUUCAGACGAUGAUCGCUUUAUAUCCCUGUACUGAAAAGAAGUGAGCCCUCGGCAAGAUGUAUGAACGAUUUAAGCCCACAUUUUCAGUUUUUUACCAGGUUAGAU